GGCAGGAUGGCCGAGCGGUUAAGGCGCUGCACUCAAGUUGCAGUAUCGAAAGGUGCGUGGGUUCGAGUCCCACUCCUGUCA
rnacentral:tRNA from 3 species